GGCCCCAUCGUCUAACGGUUAGGACGCUAGCCUCUCACGUUGGUAGUCCGGGUUCGAAUCCCGGUGGGGUCACCA
rnacentral:tRNA from 1 species